UUUUUAUUGUUUUUUAGAGAUACCUAUGAAAGUUUCCUUUUUAUUCAUCUCUUAACAGACGCACGUCUGAUCUGACUGGCGUGCAACCUUCUCCUGAAGUCUGACAGCUGGAACAAUACCUAAUGGGACUGUCUGUCAAUUAUGACACUUCCCUGCUCAGCAAAGAAAUAAAGAACAACCAUUUAUUUGAAACUGCAUAUGAACAGGUGAAAUGAAGUGCAAAGAUUGAGCCAGCCAUAGAUUUUCCUAUUAAUUCGCUGAGCAGAAGGUGUCUGCAGUCUGCACCUUCAUACUGCUGGUAGGAGGGAUACUGAAGAUGCUGAUGCCUCAAUAUACUGCUGCUUGCAGAGAUUUAUCUUGCCCACACAGAUGAUUUUUCUUUCUCAUCCUGUUGUCAAGGUAAAGAAUUGCUACUAAUCAUACAUUUGGUGAGCUAUUACAGCAGUCCCUAGCUUCCUAUCUUUCAGCACAGGUGAUAUUUUCCAUGAAAAGGGAUAAAUAUCAGCUGACCCCAGAUGUCAAAGAAGUUUGAACUGUGUGCUUGAUAUGUAGUCAUUAUAUUCCGAAAACCUCAAAAUAAUUGUUAAAAUAGAUUUUCCCUUUUCUUCUUUCUUUUAUUAAUUUGUCCAUUUGUGGGGGAGACUUGCUUCAGACUGCAGAUGAUGAUGUCCUAACUUGUUAAGGCUUUCAGAUGUGCACAGAGCUUUAAAUUUUACCUGAAUUCUGGAAAAUCAGCUGUGCAGGUCCCCUCUGAUUCAGUACACAGAAUUCAGUACAUUGUAUAGGGCAUUGGCUCCUUUAUCUUGUAUACAGUCAGGAUAAAGGAAUGUUCUGCCGACACCUAGAACUGUUCCCAAGGGCUUGAGGUAAGGAAAGGUAGCAGAAAUCACAAAGGAAAGGAGGGAGAACAGACUACAAACCUGCAGGUCUUUCAAAGUAUUAGGACUGCUAGAAUUGUAUGAUGAAUCUGACACAUUUUGGAGAAGGU
rnacentral:lncRNA from 1 species